rnacentral:lncRNA from 1 species
AGGAGCAGCUGUGGCGGCGCGGUAGGAGCCCCACAGCGUCAGGGCGGGGAGGGCGCUUGGAGAUCCCCCGGGUCGGCCCCCUCCGCACCCCGAUCGACUGAGGCCCGGAGAGUUCAGGAACCGGCUCGGGAGACCUCAGCGCCCGAACUCGGAGUUUUCGGACUUUUCAGGCCUCUGCCAAGGGCUUGGACUCGCAGGUGAAAGGACGGGCUCAUCUCACUUUUUUGUCCUGAGAGGAUGGUGGAAAGCUGCACUUGAAGUCCAACUCUGUCCUGGGGGAAUAAUUAUGUUCCCUGUCUUGGGAGCCUUUCUUCAGGGAGCUUGAUGGUUCCAACCCACCCAGGAGCCUGGGACAUCUGUGCCCCUGGGCAAUCCCCUGCAGUUUCCUGAUUCCAAGAUGAGGGGGUAGAAUCCGAAGAUCUCCAAGGCCUUGAUGAGUGCUACCAGUCUGCAAAUUCCCAAGCCAAGUUCUUCAAUGAAUCAAAUUUCCUCCAGUAGCCAUUUCUACCAAAGGAGCAACUGUUUUUCCUUCCCACUGACAUGGCUAUGUAUUCGAACUGGAUAUAGGUGAGAGGCAUUUUUGUCCUAGCUUCUCGGGCCCCUCCAAGGAGCUCCAAGAGGCUUAAGGAUCCCAGCCAUGUUGGGAUAAAAAUACCCAAUCAAUCAAUAAACAUUUUAUUUAAAAAUGAUUUAUUUAAAAAAUCACACAAUUUGAGAGCAAAUACAGAAGAUAUGAAUUAGCAAAACGAACAAAAUUAAAAUCUCAUACAAUCGCAGGACACUGGGACCUGAAGUCUUGGAGAGGAUGUAAUCACUAAGUCAUCCCAAGGAAGAGUGGGAUGCCUACAAGAGAGGGAUGCCUACAAGAGAGGGAUGCCUAAAUUGGUUACCCCUAAGCCCACCGACUUUUAAGGCAUGUGUAAGUGAGUGGGAACCUGCAAAAAGACUGGAAGGAGCAGCCAGAGAGGUAGGAAGAAAACCAGGAGUGCCUGUUGUCACGGAAGCUGAGGGCAAGGAGGACAGUGGUUGGGAGAAUCUGAUGCAGCAGCUCCAAGGACCAUGGCCCCAGGAACUAGGCACAAGUGACAGGAGACACUUGCUAUGUCUAAACCCAGUGCACCCUCAGCCCGGCCUCGCCUUUUCAAGGACGGCUAGCACAGGCCAUCAUCCUGGCCCACGAUGAAGGUGAGCAUCAAACUCCAAUUUCUGAAGAGGAAACUGAAGACCAGAGAGGGGAGGUAAACAUCCCAAAGUCACCAGCAAGUCAGUGGGAGACACAACUUUAACCCUAGUUUUGACUGGCAGUCUGUGGGCAUCGAGGCCACCAUUCCAUGUACCUAAUGUGUGUCUGGCAGUGUUCCAGGCCUCACCUGCAUCAUUUCUAAUCCUCUCAACCAGAGGAUCAGAGAGGUGGCGUUUUUACCCCUAGUACACAGAGGAGGCGCUUGGGGUUCAGAGGCACGUGUGGAACUAGACCGACGCCACUCACCCCAGCAGGUGGCCAAGCGGGAUGGGAGCGCGGGUCUCCCCAUCCCCAGCGGUGACGGGCGGCGGCUCUUUCCUGAAGAAUGGGGCGGCGUCCGCAACGGGAACCGCUGGAGGCGCUCCCCGGGACCCUGGCCCGCCCUCGCCCCCGCGCAUGCCUGGCCGCUGAGGCGUGAGAGCCGCCGCCCGGGGCCUCCCCCCGCGCGCCUUGCACAACCGGCCCAGGUAAGUGCUGCGUCUCUGGGCAAUUAUCGCCCUCCCGCCGCCGGGGCUGGCCGCGCACAGGGCCCACGGCCAAGGCACUCGCAGCCACCCAAGGAGAGCUGCACGGUCUACGACGGCCGCCAGCGCGCGCGAUUUCACAAGGCCCGGGAGCGGGGACGGGGCGGGGCGGCGGGGGCGGUGACGUCACGCGCAGCCACGCCCCGCGGUUGCCCCGCCCCCGCGCUGGGCCGGGCCUGGGGAGGAAGCGAUGCGAGGCCACCUGUCCACCUGCGCCGCUUCGUCCUUCCUCCUCCUCCUCCCUGUCAGCUGUUUUUCUUUCUUCCCAUCUCCCAUCUCUUCCUUUUUAUCCCUCUCAUUCCUCCCUCUUUCCGUCCGUUUCCUUCUCCCUUCCCCAUCUCCUUCCUUUUAAUUUUC